UACGGAGGGGGCCAGCGUUGUUCGGAAUCAUUGGGCGUAAAGGGCGCGUAGGCGGCCAAGCAAGUCGGAGGUGAAAUCCCUCGGCUCAACCGGGGAACUGCCUCCGAUACUGCUUGGCUUGAGUCCCGGAGAGGAUAGCGGAAUUCCCAGUGUAGCGGUGAAAUGCGUAGAUACUGGGAGGAACAUCGGUGGCGAAGGCGGCUAUCUGGACGGGCACUGACGCUGAGGCGCGAAAGCUAGGGGAGCAAACAGG
rnacentral:rRNA from 1 species